rnacentral:rRNA from 1 species
AGCGGAGGGAUCAUUACUGAGUUUACGCUCUACAACCCUUUGUGAACAUACCUAUAACUGUUGCUUCGGCGGGUAGGGUCUCCGUGACCCUCCCGGCCUCCCGCCCCCGGGCGGGUCGGCGCCCGCCGGAGGAUAACCAAACUCUGAUUUAACGACGUUUCUUCUGAGUGGUACAAGCAAAUAAUCAAAACUUUUAACAACGGAUCUCUUGGUUCUGGCAUCGAUGAAGAACGCAGCGAAAUGCGAUAAGUAAUGUGAAUUGCAGAAUUCAGUGAAUCAUCGAAUCUUUGAACGCACAUUGCGCCCGCCAGCAUUCUGGCGGGCAUGCCUGUUCGAGCGUCAUUUCAACCCUCAAGCUCUGCUUGGUGUUGGGGCCCUACAGCUGAUGUAGGCCCUCAAAGGUAGUGGCGGACCCUCCCGGAGCCUCCUUUGCGUAGUAACUUUACGUCUCGCACUGGGAUCCGGAGGGACUCUUGCCGUAAAACCCCCAAUUUUCCAAAGGUGA